rnacentral:rRNA from 1 species
AGGUGAAAAGAACCCCGGGAGGGGAGUGAAAGAGAACCUGAAACCCUGUGCUUACAAGCAAUGGGAGCGCAAGUGACCAUGUACUUUUUGUAGAACGGGCCAACGAGUUAUGGUAUGCAGCGAGGUUAAGUUCCUGGAGGAACGGAGCCGUAGGGAAACCGAGUCUGAAUAGGGCGGCUAGUUGCAUGCUGUAGACCCGAAACCGGGUGACCUAUCCAUGUGCAGGUUGAAGUAACCGUAAAAGGUUAUGGAGGACCGAACUUAUAUCCGUUGAAAAGGGUUAGGAUGACGUGUGGAUAGCGGUGAAAUUCCAAUCGAACUCGGAGAUAGCUGGUUCUCCUCGAAAUAGCUUUAGGGCUAGCCUCAAGGGAAGAUACGCGGGGGUAGAGCACUGAAUGUUCUAGGGGCCUUCACCGGUUACCGAAAACUAUCAAACUCCGAAUACCGUAGUAUUAUACUUGGGAGUCAGACUACGAGAGAUAAGUUCCGUGGUCAAAAGGGAAACAGCCCAGACCUACAGCUAAGGUCCCAAAAUGUAGAUUAAGUGGAAAAGGAUGUGGAGCUGCAUAGACAACUAGGAUGUUGGCUUAGAAGCAGCCACUCAUUUAAAGAGUGCGUAAUAGCUCACUAGUCGAGUGACUCUGCGCCGAAGAUAAACGGGGCUAAAAUCUACUACCGAAGCUUAGGAAUUACUUUAAAGUAAUUGGUAGAGGAGCAUCGUAUGCGGGCAGAAGCUGUGCUGGAAGGCAUGGUGGACUGCAUAGGAGAGAGAAUGUUGGCAUGAGUAGCGUAAGGCAGGUGAGAAUCCUGUCCGCCGAAAAUCUAAGGUUUCCUGAGGAAGGUUCGUCCACUCAGGGUUAGUCGGGACCUAAGCCGAGAGCAAGGCGCUGUAGGCGAUGGACAACAGGUUGAUAUUCCUGUACCACCGAAAGUCGUUUGAGCGAAGUGGGGACACAGAAGGAUAGGUUGAGCACGCUGUUGGUAAUGCGUGUCCAAGCGUCGAGGGAGAACUGGUAGGCAAAUCCGCGAGUUCAAUUCUGAGGCGUGAUGGGGUGGCCGCAAGGCUGGAAGCAACUGAUUUCACACUGUCAAGAAAAGCCGCUAGCGAGACCGUAGGUGCCCGUACCGCAAACCGACACAGGUAGAUGAGGAGAGAAUCCUAAGGUGAGCGAGAGAACUAUUGUUAAGGAACUCGGCAAAAUGACCCCGUAACUUAGGGAGAAGGGGUGCCUGUCUAUGACAGGCCGCAGAGAAUAGGCCCAAGCGACUGUUUACCAAAAACACAGGUUUCUGCUAAGUCGCAAGACGAUGUAUAGGAGCUGACGCCUGCCCGGUGCUGGAAGGUUAAGGGGAUCUGUUAGAGCAAUCGAAGCAGUGAACUUAAGCCCCAGUAAACGGCGGCCGUAACUAUAACGGUCCUAAGGUAGCGAAAUUCCUUGUCGGGUAAGUUCCGACCCGCACGAAAGGCGUAACGAUUUGGGCACUGUCUCAACAAUAGACUCGGUGAAAUUGUAAUCCCGGUGAAGAUGCCGGGUACCUGCGACAGGACGGAAAGACCCCAUGGAGCUUUACUGUAGCUUGACGUUGGGUCUUGGUACUACAUGUACAGGAUAGGUGGGAGACUAUGAAGCAUGGACGCCAGUCUGUGUGGAGUCAUCCUUGGGAUACCACCCUUGUAGUACUGGGAUCCUAACCAUAGGCCUUGAAUCAGGUCUUGGAACACCGUCAGGUGGGCAGUUUGACUGGGGCGGUCGCCUCCUAAAAAGUAACGGAGGCGCUCAAAGGUUUCCUCAGCACGGUCGGAAAUCGUGCGAAGAGUGUAAAGGCAAAAGGAAGCUUGAUUGCAAGACAUACAGGUCGAGCAAGGACGAAAGUCGGACUUAGUGAUCCGGUGGUACCGCAUGGAAGGGCCAUCGCUCAACGGAUAAAAGCUACCCUGGGGAUAACAGGCUUAUCUCCCCCAAGAGUCCACAUCGACGGGGAGGUUUGGCA